UCACUUUGGCAGUGCAUACAUUAAAGUUGGAAUGAUAUUGAGAAGAUUACCAUUGUCCCUGAAUAAGCAUGACACAAAAUUGGACUUUGUACUGGACAUCUUC